UAAAUGAAAGCCAGGGCCCUCAGGAGCACUAUCCUGGUCAGCCAAAAGGUGCCCGGCAGGAGACUGGGCGGACGGGUCGGGGGCUCCCGCCCGGGGGCCUUCAGGGGCUCAGGCUGAGGAGCAUCGCCCCCUCCUCUCCUCUUCCUUAGAGAUUCCAUGGGCGCAGCCAUAGCAAGCGGAAAAAACUAGGAAAGGAAACCCUCGAGGCGCAUGCGCACGCACGGACGCCCUCCAGUUUGCCCACCGCGGGAAAACGAAAAGGGGAGUCCGGAGGCCGCGAAGGCGGGGUGAGCACGCCUCCUGUGGACACUCCUCCGAGGUGCCCCGCCCACCAUUCGCCCUUGUUCCGCCCCAAACCAGAGCACAAGGCGGAAGAGAGAAGCCGGAAUCCCCCCUGUUCAAUACUUUCUCUAUGCUGUUCGCCUCUGUGGCGAGCCUUGAUUUUUUAAAAAAAUGUGGCGUUAUCUUAGAGGUUUGUUGCGGGCAUAACUGACAUUCGAGGCCUCAUUUGGACUCUGGUCCAAACGCUUACGGGGAGAACGGAGAGUUGGGGAUUAGAAAAAUCAACCUCCUAGCUGAGAGUAUGGGGCCGUAAAUAGUGCGACUCUUGGGUUUGGAUCAAGAGGACCCAAGUUCAGAUCCCCAGGCCCGAUGGCAUGAAGAACAGACUGCCAUCGUGGGAUUGCUGGUUUUGAAGGAAGGGGCUUAGAAAACUAGCCAGCUUCAGCUCUCAGUGAAGUGAUUGUAUUCGCCAUGCCCUAAUGAACUUUCGAUCAUCCCUUCAGCAAUUCCCACCGAGGUCUGCGGAACAUACCUGUAAUUUGUUAUUCUACUUCACAAACAAAACCUUGCCAGAUGGCUUCUCUAAAUAGGAAAGUGUGUUCAAAUCCUUAGAGAUUCCACACAUAGAUGACUGGCCAAAAGAUGUGAAAGAAACAAAUUUCAAAGUAAGAAUUGAAAAAUUGAAAAAAUAACAAAUUGUUAUGAUGAGAAAUGCAAAUUAAAAUAAUCCUGAGGUUUCAAUUCAAACCCAAUAAAUGGAGAAAGAUGUAACUAUGGAAGAGUUAAUAUGCUCUUGGUAAAGCUGCAAAUUGCUGCAACUUUUCUGGAAACCAAUUUGAAACGAUUCAAGAAAAGUCACUAAAUUGUUCAUACUCUUUGACCCAGCAUUCCCACUGCUGAGCAUAUAUCCAUAGAAGAUCAAUGUAAAAAAAGAAAAUCUAUAGACUAAAAUAUUCAUAGUAGCUUUGUUUUGAGGCAGCAAAAAAAGCUAGGAAAAAAAAAAAAAAAAGAUGUCCAUUGAUUGGAAAUAACUGAACUGUGGUAUAUAAAUGUAAUGGGACAUUAUGCUAUUUUUAAAAAUUAAGAAAAUGAACAAUUCAGAGAAAUAGGGGAAGACUUAUAUGCAGUAAUACAUGUGGAAAUAAGUAGAACCAAGACAACAAAAUGCACAAUGAUGAUAAGGCAGAGGAAAAAAAAACACUAAAAAGAAAAUAAAUUCCAAUUAAUAGUAAGAAACAAUCUUAGGCUCAGGGAGCAGAUGACGAAUGCCAGUUCUUCUUUUGGUAACAAAAUGAGAGAUGAUAAACCCAGAAUAUUUCAAACAUCAGACUUGGUCACUGUUUUUUUCUUUUAACUUUUUAUUUGCUAUUAGGUCUGGCUCAGUAAGGGGGUUGAGGAGAUUAUUGGUUGAGGACAUUUGGAAAUGUUGUUGAGUGGUUUUGGUUGUAUCCAACUCUCCAUGAGACCAUUUUGGGUUUUUUCUUGGCAAAGAUACUGAAAUGGUUCGCCAUUUCCUUCUCUAUAGAUGAGGAAGUGAGGCAAAGAAGGUUAAGUGAUUGUCAAGGGUUGAACAACUAGUAAAUGCCUGAGGUUGAAUUAGAAAUCAGAUCCUCCAAAUUCCAGAGUCAGUACUUCAUCCACUUAGCUACUCUAGGAAAUGACUGAUUUAAAAGUAAAAACCACCAAUAAAAAUUCUUUAUAAAAAUGCAAACAACACUUCUUACCAAGAUGGGUGCCUAAAUGGAGGCUUGGGUUACCUACUUUAACAAAAACUUGAAAUCCCCCCUAGACCAAAUAAUCAAGAAAUCCAAUGAAAACUAUAUAAGGGGACUUCUACCCUAGAACUGGGGUGGAGGAGGGGAAGUCAUCCCAGUUAUUACUCAAGCAGUACAGAAAGUAGACCACAAACAAAAUCAGUGCCAGCAGAAAAACUCAAGCAUUCAAGUGCCAUUGGGAAAGGAAUAGAAAUGGGGAGUGGAAAGGUAAAGCUCUACAGGUAAAGUCCCUAGCAUUCAUUCUGAACUAAGACACUCUAGAGGAACCUGAAGAUCUGCAAUUUUGAACUUCAAAAAUCCAAUGGGGCUUUGGAGAAUUAGGUCUUGAAAGGAAAUCAGGGUCACUCCACCCAAAAGUGACCUAGGGAGUGAAGCCAGGCUGUAGCACAAAGACCCAAUUCAGAAAAUAAAACUGGAAAGAAGAGAAAAGCAAAGAUAUUGAUCAAUGUCAAAGAGCAUUGCAAAAAGUAAUUCCAUAAUAACUGCAAAAAACCCAAAAAACUGCAGAGACUCAAAGGAGAAACAGAUAUUCCAAAAGAACUACAUGAAUAACUUGAAUAAAGAGAUUUUUAAAUGAAAUAAAAACUCAAGAAUUGGAAGGAGUAUAAAAAGCUUAGAAAAGAUAGUUACCUAUAGGCUUCAUCAAUAAAUGGAUUCCCUGAAAACUAAAAAAAGAUAGAACAAAUAAAUCAAACUCCAUGAGACAAGAAAUAUUAGAACAUAAUCAAAAGAUUGAAAAAAUGGAAGAAAAUAGAAUACAUUUGAUAAGAUUUUUAAAAACUGACCUGAAAAAAAAUGAGUUACAUAGAGAUCACUUAAAAAUCACUGAGCUUCUUGAAAUCCACCACUAAAAACAAAGCAAAACAAAAAAACAAAAACAAAAA